AGGACUAACGCUGGCGGCGUGCCUAACACAUGCAAGUCGAACGAAGUAGCAAUACUUAGUGGCAGACGGGUGAGUAACACGUAGUCAACCUGCCCUUCAAUGGGGGAUAACUAGCCGAAAGGUUAGCUAAUACCGCAUACGAUCUCUGAGUGGCAUCACUCGGCGAUGAAAGGAGUAAUCCGUUGAAGGAGGGGACUGCGUCCCAUUAGUUAGUUGGUGGGGUAAUGGCCUACCAAGACUCCGAUGGGUAGCUGGCUUGAGAGAGCGACCAGCCACACUGGAACUGAGACACGGUCCAGACUCCUACGGGAGGCAGCAGUGAGGAAUUUUCCGCAAUGGGGGAAACCCUGACGGAGCGACGCCGCGUGUGGGAAGAAGGCCUUCGGGUCGUAAACCACUGUCGAGGGGGACGAGUAUUGACGGUACCCCUGGAGGAAGCCCGGCUAACUACGCGCCAGCAGCCGC
rnacentral:rRNA from 1 species